CAGUCGCCGCGGUAAUACGUAGGGUGCAAGCGUUAAUCGGAAUUACUGGGCGUAAAGCGUGCGCAGGCGGUUAUAUAAGACAGAUGUGAAAUCCCCGGGCUCAACCUGGGAACUGCAUUUGUGACUGUAUAGCUAGAGUACGGCAGAGGGGGAUGGAAUUCCGCGUGUAGCAGUGAAAUGCGUAGAUAUGCGGAGGAACACCGAUGGCGAAGGCAAUCCCCUAGGCCUGUACUGACGCUCAUGCACGAAAGCGUGGGGAGCAAACAGGAUCAGAUACCCCUGUAGUCCCUGUCUCUUAUAC
rnacentral:rRNA from 1 species